GACGAACGCUGGCGGCGUGCCUAAUACAUGCAAGUAGAACGCUGAAGGAGUAGCUUGCUUCGCUGGUUGAGUUGCGAACGGGUGAGUAACGCGUAGGUAACCUGCCUUGGAGCGUGGGAUAACUUUUGGAAACUAUAGCUAAUACCGCAUAAGAGUAGAUGUUGCAUGACAUGUGCUUAAAAGUUUCAAUUGCAUCACUACCAGAUGGACCUGCGUUGUAUUAGCUUGUUGGAGGGGUAACGGCUCACCUAGGCGAGGAUGCGUCGCAGGCCUGAGAUGGGGGGCGGCCACCCUGGGACUGUGACCCGGCCCAGACUGCCACGGGAGGCAGCCGUAGGGCAUCGUCGGGCAUGGGCGGAAGUCUGACCGAGCAACGCCGCGUGAGUGAAGAGGGUCUUCGGAUCGUAGAGCUCUGUUGUCAGAUAAGAACGAGUGUGAGAGUGGAAAGUUCACACUGUGACGGUAUCUUACCAGAAAGGGACGGCUAACUACGUG
rnacentral:rRNA from 1 species